rnacentral:rRNA from 1 species
AUUGAACGAUGGCGGCAGGCCUAACACAUGCAAGUCGAACGAGUGGCGGACGGGUGAGUAAUGUCUGGGAAACUGCCUGACGGAGGGGGAUAACUACUGGAAACGGUAGCUAAUACCGCAUACCAUCGGAUGUGCCCAGAUGGGAUUAGCUAGUGGGUGGGGUAAAGGCUCACCUAGGCGACGAUCCCUAGCUGGUCUGAGAGGAUGGCCAGCAACGCUGGAACUGAGCCACGGGCCAGACGCCUACGGAAGGCAGCAGUGGGGAAUAUUGGACAAUGGGCGCAAGCCUGGUGCAGCCAUGCCGCGUGUAUGAAGAAUGCUGUCGGGUUGUAAAGUACUUUCAGCGGGGAGGCGUUACCCGCAUAAGAAGCACCGGCUAACUCCGUGCCAGCAGCCGCGGUAAUAC